CGCGGGCCGCCGGGCCGGGGUCGCCGCCCGGGCUCGGUCAGUCGGUACCUUCAUGAAGGUCUCUACCGCGCCUUUGGCCGUGUCCAGCCUCGUCCCAAAUGCCGUGGGAGGGAAGGCACUCUCUGUCAAGCUGCUGUCACCUUACCUGAAGUAAGGAGUCCACGCCUGCAUGUCCGAGGAAAACAGUUUUCUCAAACACAUUAGUUGAAAAACUGAAGACGCUGCCUAAAAUACAAGCUGAGUUAGAGACAGCCCUUGUAAGACUAGAAAAAGAAAUGGAAACUAAGUAACAUGAAUUAACAUAGUCCAGGGUCACAAAGCAAAAUGGAACAAGAACCUGGAUCUGAAUUCAGAGGCAGAAUGCUGGGCCUGAGAAUCAGGAGAGUCAAUGGUAUUAGUGCUUGUCCGGAAGCCAUCAUGCUUCAAAACCAAGAAGAGCUGAUUUUCCAGUUGGAGUCUAAAGGUUGGGUUUCCCAAGAAGUAGAUUCUGAGACAGAGAGUUGUGUGCAGGCGUCCAUUGAGAAAACACUUGUGAGGGCAUGAGGAAGUAGGACAGCGGCAGAGUUUAGCCUGAGGAAAGGCCUUGUGAGGACAUAACCAGGAAGAGAGUCCUCACCAGAACCUGACCAUAACUGCACCCUGAUCUCAAGCUUCCAGCUUCCAGAACCAUGAGAAAUCAAUGUUUGUUGUUUUAGCCACCCAGUCUACAGAAAUUUGUUAUAGCCACCCUAGCUGACUACCACAUUGGACAUCACAGC
rnacentral:antisense_RNA from 1 species